AGCCAGGAUAAACUCUCGGUGUCUUCCUUCCACAAGCUUGCCUUGUUAGAGCCGGGGACCAUGGUGAAAACAGGACCCACUGCGAUUGCUUUGGGAGAGAUGUCUCGGAGGGCUUGGAAGGUGGCACUGCCCUCGAGUUCUUCGAACGAGUUGAUCAAAACCCACGACGUUGUGGCGAAGCUCUUGGCUCUAGCGUAUCUGCGAGCGAAUCCUGAUUCGUCAAUGGUAGAAAGGUCGCACGGGAGGCCCCAGAUUGGCAGUGGUGACAAGCCGUCUACGUAAGUGAUGUACUUUUCAAUGGAACGAUCUGGCGGAACGCGUUAGUGCUUCUCGAAAGAAGGACAAAUAAAAAAGAAGAAAGAAGCCUUACCUUGGACUGGAACGUCUCCCUUCUCCAGCAUUCGCGGAAACGAGCAAUCGAGCAAAACGCAAGAGGCACUGGCGGUCCAGAACUUGACCUCUGGGAUUCCGGUCCUUCUUGCUACUUCCGCGGACCACGGAAGCAACAUAUCCGAGAUGAAGCACGAGACCGGAGGAACGAGAUCAUCGUCUCUGGCCAUGCUCCUGAUGAGCAAGCUCUCCACUGGACCCUGCAUCGCCAUCACCGCCUCGAAGAAGAUUUGCCGCGUCUCCGGGGCCGUGAAGUCGGCCUCGCUCGCUUGGAUCCCGGGGACCGUCUCGAAACGAAUGCCGCCGCCAUAGCCAAAGCUCUCCUCCUGCGAAACGACGUCCUUCAAGUCCCUGUGGUUGCCCUCCGUGUUGAUGAAAGUUAUGACGAAGCCUCGCGAGGCCAGAGUUCUGGAGAGAUGGAGGAAUGGAGUGAUGUGGCCUAGAGUUGGAAUGGGAAGAACCGCUGCGUGAGGAGCGAGCCCCUCGGCACCAGUAGAAGAACCCAUUGACGAAGAACAAAGAAAAUUCAAGCUUACUUCGUGAGUGCUGUGGAAGGGUUUCUCACAUUACCUUUUCUGGAUAAGCUUGAAAUCGCUCCAAGGCCGAGCUUAAGAAUCAGUGCGUUUUGCAAAAGGUUUUAAUCUAGUGUUCUCCACACUUCUAAUCUCCUUAUUGCACGCGGUGGUUCAGGAAUUUAAUACUCCUCUUGAUUACUCCCUCAAGCCAUCUAUUUCUUUGGGAAGGAAAAUAACACUUCCACCAACCUAUACACUUUCAAGUAUCAUCUUUAUGUGCUCUUGGUCUGUCUGUGCAUUGGCCCCGUCCUCAUACCCGAUGAUCGUCCUGCCACCAGCUGCGGCAUUGGAUAUAAAUUACCUUAUGAAGCUUGACGAACUUGUCCAAACUUUCAUAUGAAGAUCCUGCCUUCUUUCACUGUUGCUCCCUGAGCAGCCUCGCUGAGCUCCUUCACAUUACAUCUAAAGGAAUCGCCAUUCUCAGCUCCCAUGAGCUGCUCCACCACCUCCGCAAACUCGUCCCCGCCACCACCUUGCGAGGAUCUCUCAUGGGCGAGAACUUAAGAUCGAUCUUCCAGUCUUCCACUAUAAGCUUGCAGUUGAGAUUCUGCUCGGCAACUCAUUGCCAGCAAAGGAUUGACACUGCUGAAGAUACACUCUCGCAGCCUGUGGAAGGAUGCUGGAGGAUUUCCAAUUGAGGAGCCCAGCUCACAACCAGUCCAAAGCUGAUCACUUGCAAGGAGAGCCUUGAAAGCCUCCAGGAACUCGGGCUCUAUGCCAGGGACCAACUUGAGACAAAUGGCCAUUAUAACUGGCCUCUAGAACUCUUCCAAUCUUGCUAGUAUUUCUUUAAGCUGUUCCUUGCUCUUUAGUUUUUUUCAUUUUUUGUUUUUCCAUUUUUUAGUGUUUAAUUCUUUUAUCGUGGUUCCCCACUUUACACUCUCUUUCUUCUUAUUAUUUUUUCUUUGUUUUUCUUUAGUUUCUUCUCCUCGCAUCAGUUUCUGACAUAAGGCAUCGCCUUGGAGUCUACACUAGCACAUUGGCCAUGGGUUCUUGCACGUGACAAAGUCCAGCACAUUCCCUCAUGGUUGCGUGUUUUGGAGAUAGCAUCCCCCAAAGGAUGAAAGUGAGAGCUUGGCAGAGAUGCAAGAGUGGAGAGAUGUGGCCUUGAGCUGGGAGAGAGAGAGAAAGAGUAAUAUAUUCUUGAAUAGAGUAGAUGCUUUGAAGUUUUCUCUUAGCUUGGAUUGAAGUUCAGGAAAUUUUCACUGCUUGACCAAAUCUCUCCAGGUUUUCAUACGAGGAGCCACCUCUAGACACUGCUCUGCGAGCCUCCUCGCUCAGCUUCUUCACGUUAAUCCUCAAAUGCUCACUGUCAGUUCCCAUGAAUCGCUCCACCACCUCCACAAACUCGUCCCUCGCCAUCACCUCGGGAGGAUCCGGCAUGGUCACGCACGAGAACUUGAGACCGAUCUUCCAGUCCUCCACUAUCAACUUGCAGUUUAGAUUCUGCUCGGCGACGCACGGCCAGCAAAGCAUGGGCACCGCGGAUGCUACGCUCUCGAGGAUGGAGUUCCAGCCGCAGUGACUGAGAAAUCCAGCGGUGGAAGGGUGGCGGAGGAUGUCCACCUGAGGAGCCCAGCUCACAACCAGUCCAAAGCUCCUCACGGUCUCCUUGAAACGCUCCAGGAACUCGGGCUCCAUGCCGUUGACCGACUUGGGUCGGAUGGCCCAGAUAAACGGACGCUGGAGAAGCCUCAGUCCCUCGGAGAACUCCUUGAACUGAUCGAAGCUGAGAGUCGCGAUGCUGCCCAAGGAAAUGUAGAGAACCGAGCCGGGACUUUGCUUGCCGAGCCAGGAUAAACUCUCGGUGUCUUCCUUCCACAAGCUUGCCUUGUUAGAGCCGGGGACCAUGGUGAAAACAGGACCCACUGCGAUUGCUUUGGGAGAGAUGUCUCGGAGGGCUUGGAAGGUGGCACUGCCCUCGAGUUCUUCGAACGAGUUGAUCAAAACCCACGACGUUGUGGCGAAGCUCUUGGCUCUAGCGUAUCUGCGAGCGAAUCCUGAUUCGUCAAUGGCAGAAAGGUCGCGCGGGAGGCCCCAGAUUGGCAGUGGUGACAAGCCGUCUACGUAAGUGAUGUACUUUUCAAUGGAACGA
rnacentral:lncRNA from 1 species